UCCCUGAUAUUCUAGAGGUUAGGAGUCAGCACUUUCACUGCUGCAUCCCUGGUUCAAUCCCUGGUCUGGAAA
rnacentral:tRNA from 1 species